ACGUGUAAAAGCCAAACCCGUUGCGAGGCGGGGACGGAAAACCACAGGUCUUGACCUUCUUUACAGGGUCCAAGAUAGCUGGGCUGUCACC
rnacentral:ncRNA from 1 species